CGGCAAUUAGCUGUGUCCUCAUUUAGUCUCCAGUCCCAAAGGGUAAUGAAAGUCAUAUAUCAUCUUCAAGGCUGCUAAUUAUCCAGCUCAGUUACAGGUCAGCCAUAUCGGAUUCGGUCAACAGGGUGAAAUUCCUAUUGCUGCUAUUUUUGCACUGUUCCAAAAGUUUGUUCACACCAGAGGCGAUUCAACCAGCAGGCCAACUAGGCAGUUGCCUGUGGCACCAUCUUGCUGGGGGC
rnacentral:lncRNA from 11 species